rnacentral:lncRNA from 1 species
UCAGGGGACCACAGUCUUCUGUUUCCUGGAUUUCAGGUCCCUUUUAAACUGAAGCAUAGUGAGAACAAGUGUAAAGCACAACACAGACGGAAGAUUGCACCUUAGCUCACUGCCCCGUGCACCCCGGUUACACCGUCUAAGAAAACACUCUGGAUUCAAUCCUUGGAAAAGUAGGGAAAGUCUGCCUUGAUGAGCUUUACUCAAGAGCCGCAACUUCACGGAUCGGACAACAG